UGGAGACGAGUAGGUGAAAUAGAGUCACAUGUACAAAAAGAUUGGAGGAUAGCUAAUUGGUUCGAUAUAAAUUUGAAUGCAUGGUAGUCAUAUGGAUGCUUCUAGUCUAAGCAAUUCCCUCUAUAAACCCCAUAAGUUAUAUAAGUUUACAAGGAGCUACUAGGAACUUUUGUUAUUGCUGUGUAUAUUAUGUUAGACAUAUUCUAAGGUUCUGAGAGUGCACCUUCUUCUGGUGGAGACUGUGGCAGUGGUGGUGGUGGUGAUUUCAUUAAGAGUUAGCUUGUAAUGAGACCUGGAGGCCCAGGAGGACCAGGAGGGCCAGGAGGACCGCCCGGACCACCCGGAUGGGGUCCAGGACCAGGAGGACCGCCAGGACCACCUGGAUGGGGUCCACCCGGACCGCCCGGACCGCCCGGAUGGGGUCCACCUGGACCUCCCGGACCACCAGGAUGGGGGCCAGGACCAGGAGCACCGUUCUUCUGUGGUUUCUUUGACAUGAUUGGUACUUGCCUGAGCUUCUUAUGCUGUUGCUGGUUGUUUCAAGAUUGCUUUGGUGGCCCACCUGGGCCUCCUGGGCCUCCUGGCCCACCAGGACCACCUCCUCCAUAAUCAACUUCUUCCUACCAAUACACACACCAUGUGCAACUACUAUCUAGAGAUUUACAUCUAUCAGCUAUGUGAAAAUAAUGACUACUUUAGAGCAGAAGGACUUAGUAACAAGUUACUAAAAUUGAAAGACAUACUGGUUUUUAGUGUGCCAGUUUAAUGUCUCUCUUUAUCAAUGGCUAUUGGACAUUUAUUUGUAUGCAUUUAAUUUUAAUUAUAACUAUUGGAUAUAUGUGAUGAUCUGAAUGAACCAUCCAAUCCGAUGCUUUCAUUCCUUUUGA